rnacentral:rRNA from 1 species
AUGGAGAUCCGUCGUCUCGCCUUGCGCCGGCGCGAUGUGCCACGGCCGUUCCGCGAGGAGCCGGGCCGAGUGCCACAACGCCAGAAAAGAUCGAUCUCGUUGCUAGUUGGCGAUGAGAUCGCCAUGGCUUUGUGCUGCACAAACCCCGAGUGCGGCAUCAAAUAUGCAUCUCACGUUGGAUGGAAUCGAUCUUCCUGUGAUCUGUGCCGUAGUCGCUUGAGAGAGACGUGGUGGUGCGUAACCGCCGUCGUCUUGGCCGGAUUGAUCGCUCUUGGCAGAGUCUAUGUGCUGAUAACGUGUUGUAGUAUAUCAAAGUAA